rnacentral:rRNA from 1 species
UACGUAGGGUCCGAGCGUUGUCCGGAAUUACUGGGCGUAAAGAGCUCGUAGGUGGUUUGUCGCGUUGUUCGUGAAAACUCACAGCUCAACUGUGGGCGUGCGGGCGAUACGGGCAGACUGGAGUACUGCAGGGGAGACUGGAAUUCCUGGUGUAGCGGUGGAAUGCGCAGAUAUCAGGAGGAACACCGGUGGCGAAGGCGGGUCUCUGGGCAGUAACUGACGCUGAGACGCGAAAGCGUGGGGAGCGAACCGG